rnacentral:rRNA from 1 species
UACAGAGGGUGCAAGCGUUAAUCGGAAUUACUGGGCGUAAAGCGUGCGUAGACGGUUAUUUAAGUCAGGUGUGAAAUCCCCGGGCUUAACCUGGGAAUUGCAUUUGUGACUGCACGGCUAGAGUGUGUCAGAGGGGGGUAGAAUUCCACGUGUAGCAGUGAAAUGCGUAGAUAUGUGGAGGAAUACCGAUGGCGAAGGCAGCCCCCUGGGAUAACACUGACGCUCAUGCACGAAAGCGUGGGGAGCAAACAGG